ACAGUUACAUUCCGACUCGGAUGCAAAUCUCUUGGCAGUUUUAAAUCACCAUGUUGGGAGAGAUCUCCAUGUGGUUGCUGUUGAGUUUUGAGAGCUUACCUGGUAGAGGAGUUGUAUCUACUUUUGAGCAGCAUAAAGACUUGGCAGCCUGCCUGGGAAUGAGCUGACUGCUACUGUCAUUAUCAUGCUACGUCCUAGAUGGAAGUUCAAGUCUCUGUAUGGUAGAGUUCCUUGUGCAAUACACUUCAUCGCCUUCUAUGGCAUUUUAGGUUGGAAUUUCUUGCCGGUGGCGAGAUGGAUAAGGGACGUCCGGAUCCGUUUUCUUUGUUGGUUGGAUGGCAUCCUAGCUAAUCGCAGUGGUGAAGAUGAAGUCAGAUCCUUGGAUGGAGGUGACCAAGGAGACCUGUGACAAAGCAAAUGCAUGGCGAUUCGGUCCGGGCAGUUCCGCCUUAAGCAGUGCUAUUGCCAUUGGGCUCGCUGGCUGCGUGGUGGUAGGAUCGGAUGGCCCUUGACCUCUGGACUCCGCCACUCGGUAGUGGCCACCGCCAUGUCGCUGAACUGGGCGUGGACCGGCUGUAGCUGCAUGAGGAAUGUGACAGCCUGGACAUGCGGGGCACCACCCCGGAGCCUGACAUGGAGGUUAUCAGGUCUGACCCCGAGCUCAGCUUGACUAGAAGCAGGAAAGCUUGCUGCCAUUCAGUAUGGCAUUGGUUGAAAUGUGAGGUAUUUCAGUGAGGAUAGUGUUACAAUAGGUGAUCUAGUUGAAAGAUCAGUAGGAGUUUAUUGAAGCUAUAAAGGAGCUAGGUAUUACUUUUUUGGUUGCAAAGUUUGAUGGCAUUCUUGGGCUUGGAUCGCAAGAAAUUUUUGUUGGAAACCAGUAUCUGUGUGCAUAGUGCUUCUAGCUACAACAGCAGGCUACGCUGUGGUAGGUUCGGAUGGCCCUUGGCCUCCGGGCCGCGCCGCUCGGUAGUGGCCACUGCUAUGUUGCUGAGUUGGCUGUGCGAGGAAGGGGAAGGCCUGGACAUGAUGGACACCACCCCGGAGCCUGACAAGGAGGUCGUAAGGUCCGAGCCCGAGCCCGGCCUGACAAGAAGGUACCUUAGCUGCUUGCCUCCACAAUCAGUCCAAGAUGGCACUUUUUCCCGUUCUGGUGUGCUCUAUCGUGCUAUAGCAUCUAUCUAGUUGUAAAUUAGCUUGAUCCGGUUGAGAUUAGGAUUUUAUUGUUGGGUUACCAUAUUAGGAGUUUAUUGAAGCUAUAAAGGAGCUGGGUGUACUUUUUUGGUUGCAAAGUUUGAUGGCAUUCUUGGGCUUGGAUCUCAGGAAAUUUCUGUUGGAAACCAGUAUUCCUGGACUGAAAUAUCCCUGGUUGUUAAGACAAAAUAUUUUGUGGAGAAGUCAGCUGUGUACCGAUUUACCACCAUAGAGCAUUCAUGAUUUCAAGUUGCCUGUGUGCAACAUCCUUGAAGAGGAUGCUACAAAAUAACUGAUGUUGAUCUAGUUCAUGUUUGAUGUAGUAACAUUGUGACGCAAAUAUUGCAACAAUA